CUUGGGGGAGGGGAGAAAAUCAGCCGGAAGUUCGGCUCAAGUCCAAAAAAACAAGAGAUGAGCACCCUCCUGGCUUCCGCCCCUGCCUCCAGCUCUGCCAAGCUACAAACCAGGCGUGGCAGCUCUGGGGGUGGGCGAGGGGCCCAGGAGAAGCCCUCACCGCAAGCGCAGCCUCAGGUCUGAGGGGGCGCAGACGGGAACCUGCAAGGAGGAAACGUGAGGAGUUCUUCCCGCCUCCAGCUCUUCGGAAAUAAACCCAACCGGGUUUCCAGCCCCGCGGGCGGGCCAGGCUGGACAACCAGAUUCCGGCGACCUAAGGAUCCCCGACCGCCGCCCACCCCGCGGGCCUCACCCGGUCAGACUGCAGCUCUUCCCCCUGGCACAGGCGGCUGAGGAAGGACUUCUGCUCGCGGCACAGCGUUUGCCGGGUGGUCAGGAACACCGUGCCCCCCACGUUGAGCCUCACCCACUUGCUCCAGCCGCCCGCCCCCGCCGGCGGCGCUGCCUCGCGGGCCUCCAUCCUCAUCGCUCUUCCCAGCGUCUGCAUCCUGCCUGCAAGGCGGCUGGAGGCGGGCAUGUACCGCGCGCCGGGCAUGCCGGGAGUUGUAGUCCGCGCCGCCCCGCGUGAGUGUGGCCAGGGGUGAGGGUCAGCCGACGCCCUCUAUCCCGCCUUCUCCAGCCCCGCCCUACUUUGCCCUUCCCGGGAGGCCUACGAACGGGAGUUCAGUAAAGUUCUUUGGCCAAGUUA